rnacentral:rRNA from 1 species
AGUGAACGCUGGCGGUAGGCCUAACACAUGCAAGUCGAACGGCAGCACAGGAGAGCUUGCUCUCUGGGUGGCGAGUGGCGGACGGGUGAGUAAUACAUCGGAACGUGCCCAGUCGUGGGGGAUAACGUAGCGAAAGUUACGCUAAUACCGCAUACGAUCUACGGAUGAAAGCGGGGGACCGUAAGGCCGCGCGCGAUUGGAGCGGCCGAUGUCAGAUUAGGUAGUUGGUGAGGUAAAGGCUCACCAAGCCGACGAUCUGUAGCUGGUCUGAGAGGACGACCAGCCACACUGGGACUGAGACACGGCCCAGACUCCUACGGGAGGCAGCAGUGGGGAAUUUUGGACAAUGGGCGCAAGCCUGAUCCAGCCAUUCCGCGUGCAGGACGAAGGCCUUCGGGUUGUAAACUGCUUUUGUACGGAACGAAAAGGCUCUGGUUAAUACCUGGGGCUCAUGACGGUACCGUAAGAAUAAGCACCGGCUAACUACGUGCCAGCCGCCGCGGUAA